rnacentral:rRNA from 1 species
UCCGAAAGUCGAGUGUGAAAGCUCCUGGCUCAACUGGGAGAGGCCGUUCGAAACUUCGGAACUUGAAGGCGGGAGAGGCAGAUGGAAUUUCCGGUGUAGCGGUAAAAUGCGUAGAUACCGGAAGGAACACCAGUGGCGAAAGCGAUCUGCUGGCCCGCCCUUGACGCUCAGGCGCGAAAGCUAGGGGAGCGACCGGGAUUAGAUACCCCGUUAGUCCUAGCCGUAAACAAUGGGCACUAGGUGUUGUCGGUAUCGACCCCGGCAGUGCCGAAGCUAACGCAUUAAGUGCCCCGCCUGGGGAGUACGACCGCAAGGUUAAAACUCAAAGAAAUUGACGGGGGCCCGCACAAGCAGCGGAGCGUGCGGUUCAAUUCGAUGGUACGCGAAGAACCUUACCCAGACUUGACAUGCAAGUGGUAGGGACCUGAAAGGGAACCGACCCGCAAGGGAGCUUGCACAGGUGUUGCACGGCCGUCGUCAGCUCGUGUCGUGAGAUGUUGGGUUAAGUCCCGCAACGAGCGCAACCCUCGGGAUCUGUUGUACCUCUCAGAUCCGACUGCCGAGAGAAACUCGGAGGAAGGUGGGGAUGACGUCAGGUCAGCGUGGCCUUUAUGUCUGGGGCUACACGCACGCUACAAUCGCCGGUCACAGCGGGUUGCGACUGCGCAAGUAGAAGCUAAUCCCAUAAAACCGGCGUCAGUUCAGAUCGAAGGCUGCAACUCGCCUUCGUGAAGUCGGAGUUGCUAGUAACCGCGGGACAGCACACCGCGGUGAAUAUGUUCCCGGGCCUUGUACACACCGCCCGUCACGUCAUGGGAGUUAGUAACACCCGAAGCCGGUGGGCCAACCGCAAGGA